GGCAGGCUUUCUUAGCGGGGUCUAAUGAUGGAAAAAAAGAAAAAUAUUUAUUGCUUUUGACAGUUUCACAAGGGGCAAAAAUCCUUGUCGUGGCUUUAAGUUUCCACAGCUGUUGGAGGAAGGGUGGUCAUAUGGACUAAAACAGUUCGGCUCCUUUGUUAAGAGGCUGAGCACAAGGGCCAAGCUGUGAAAUUAAAGAUUAAGUUCAUUAAGCUUCUCAAUCUUACUACAUAAACACAUCUUCUAUCAUAUUGUUUAUCCAUGCAUGGAGGAAGAAAAUAAUCUGACUGCACCAUUCUGGACCUCUUGACAUUUAGAGAGAGUUGGGAUUUAGACAGACCAUAGAAGGAAUCGCACUAUUCAAGAUGCAAAGUGAUUAAGACGUGAACAAGGAUUUCAGUAGAGGCAAGGUCAAGGUAAAGAUGAACUCAAGCAGAAUUUCAGAGGUGGGAAUAAGGAGAGUGGGAAAGGAAUUCAAGAACUCUUUCUGGUGCUGCAGAAGUCACCACAGCUCUUAUUCCCAAUGUCUGAUACCAGGGAGAAACAACACUUCAUGGAAAUAAUAUGCAGUUUCCAGAUCAGAUUUGUUUUGCUUUUCCUUUUUCAUUCCCAUAGUGAGGUCAGAUACGCUUUAAUAUUCUGAAUAGUUUGUAGGUAUUAGGUCUGCUGGCGGAAAAACUCUGGUCCCAGCCACUGAGAGAAUCCCCAGCCCCUCCAACAUGCUCAUGCUAUGUGGAGGAAACGAGAAAGAGAAAUGGCAAGGAGGGAAGAGUGAAGUACAAAUCUUUGGAAAGGGACAUCAA
rnacentral:lncRNA from 1 species